UACAGAGGAUGCAAGCGUUAUCCGGAAUGAUUGGGCGUAAAGAGCUCGUAGGCGGUUUGUCGCGUCUGCUGUGAAAACUCGGGCUUAACGUCCGGGCCUGCAGUGGGUACGGGCAGACUAGAGUGCGGUAGGGGAGACUGGAAUUCCUGGUGUAGCGGUGAAAUGCGCAGAUAUCAGGAGGAACACCGGUGGCGAAGGCGGGUCUCUGGGCCGUAACUGACGCUGAGGAGCGAAAGCGUGGGGGAGCGAACAGG
rnacentral:rRNA from 1 species